rnacentral:lncRNA from 1 species
ACCAUUUCUUGAUUCUCAAAUCUUGCUCACACUCUUUCUCAUGAAAGUAUAUAAAUAACAUAGCGGAAGUGACUUGCCGCAAAAGACUGAUAGGGUUGCUACAUAGACACGGGAAAAUUAAUAUCAAUGAGGACUAUUUCAUCAACAUUUGAAUAUAGAUAUGGUGAUCUAUCCAAGCAUUAUACAUGAUGAACUGGCUAUCUUGCAAGGUCAUCAUGAAAGGGCUCAGUUCCGAAAUGCCCUAUGAACCAGCGUUUCCGUACUAAUACUAGUCAAAAUAACUAAGCCAACAUAGGGCAUACAAAAGCAUCGAAAUGAUCGUCGUUUUCGAAAUACACAAAUAAUGUCCUACUAAAUGCACAAGAGAUUGUCUGUAUGCAUUAUGUGCUUGACCCUUGGGUUGAAGCAUACGUGUUUGACUGAUUUAAUCUGAUGAGUAUCUGUUUAUCCUUGGUCACAAAAAAUCUACCAACAGUUAGUAGAUCACAAUGAUUCAAAUCACAAAUGGCAAUUAGACAAAGUGUUUCAAUAAUUUGCCAAACAAUUGAAAAUGAAUAACCAUAGGGUAGAAAUGAAUUGACUGAAAGGUCGAAGCAAAAUGACCUAAUAGUCUGACCCCGUUUGGCUUUUCAGAUGAAGGUUUAAAAUAUAUAGGUUUAAAGACCCAUAUAUGACGACUACUGAGAUUUUGGCCAUGUGGACUGGCCAGGUCCGACACAACUACUUCUCAGUCACUCGGAAAUACUUUUCCGAACUUGGUAACUCUUGUUCAUUUGCUGCAAGAGGUAUACUUGGUCUAAAAUCACCACUUUCUUCUUAACAUCUUGAACAUGUCCUUGACAAUAUUCUAGAGCUUCUCAAACUUGGAGUCUGCCUCCUAAUUUAAUGAAAUCCCUAAACAUCUUCUAUAGGCGAAAUGAGGUAGGCUCAACCUUACUCAUCAAUCUUCCACUACAUGAUCUUAAAUAUAGUACUUCUAGUACUUAGUGUUCCUUCACAUAGCGCUUGAAAUGCAACCAUAUAAUUUGAAGCACUCUUCCGUGUCAUUAAAAAAAAAACUUCUGAAUCAUCACGCAUUCAAUAAGGAAAUAGAUUUUGCUCCUCUGAGCAUCUUUACAGGGUAUGCGUCACCAUACGUAAUCCUAAGUCAUGGAAUGACCUUAGUCAACGCUCUCACUCC